rnacentral:guide_RNA from 1 species
AAACAUCAAUAGUAGAAAGUGGGAAGAUGAUAGAUUAUAU